rnacentral:lncRNA from 1 species
CAAUAUCUUCAACUUGAGCUGGAACUCAGCAAUGACUCCAGCCUUUCUGCACCAAAAGGAAAAGGAAUGCAGAGCUGAACUACCCGAGGAGAAGUGAUAAGGAACAGAAUCUGUUCUUCCUGUUCUCUGAUCACUUGCUCAGAGAGACUGCUGAUCAUGACUCACCUGAAGGUAUUUGUCUCUCAGAUCUUCCCUCCCCCAGCCAUAGCUUGCAGCCCCACUAGCUGAGCUGGGACAGCUGUUAGGCAGAGCAGUUCUGCAAAAGGGAUCACUGAAACAAGCUGACUCACAGUGCUACUCAGAGCCAUGAAAGAAUCCUGGAGACUGGAAACAACCACAGAGUAGGGACCAAAUGCAGAGCUAUACAGGGAUGAAAACUCCCUAAGAGACAUCUCUUCUUAAUCUAUUUAGACAUUUUCCUUGGAGAGUCAGCACUAAGACAAAAGCAGUCCAGCCAUUUCAGACCCAGGCAUUUUGUCAAAGGAUUGAAGCGUAAGCAGCAGCAAGGCCAGAUGUUCCUUGGGGUGACUAAGGACUUCAUCAGAAUAUUGUCCUACACAACAACCUUACGAGGAAUGUGAAUAAAUCAUAGCAGGAGAUAGCACACGUCCUCAUGAUCUUUGGUGUGAUCUUUGUUACCUUAACAGAAGCUAAUUUGUAUCAUUGGUGCACACGUAUACUGAGGGUUGAUUUCUAGUUCUAAUUGUCUGCAGUAAACUUUUACAUUAUAUCAGUAUUGUUCAAACAAUAACACAAGAGACUUUUCCCACAACAUCCAACAUUUCCUGUUUGAAUUCCAGUGGCUUUAAAUGCUGAGAAACUCCUUAAAUAGCUUUUAGUGUGUGAUACAAGCUCAUAGUUUUAUUUCAAUGAGAAAAGAUGCAUAUCUAGUGAGGCCCAUCUCACUAUCACAUGAGUAUGCGAUAUGAAAUCCUAGGGCAAAAAGUUCCAAUUUAGCACAAAACAAAGUGAGUCAUGUUAAGAAAUUGAAGUAUUUUUUUUUUAUUAUGAUGCAAAAUGCAUAGUUUCAUAUUUUUAUUCCAAUAUGUCAAAAUCUGAGCUCAGACUUCUAUAUCCACUCUGUGUUAUCUAUUAGAGUUCUACUGUGGGUAGUAUACAACAAGCUUUUCUUUCUUUUUCUUUUUGAUUCUAAUUGAAAAGUCAUUUAUAUGCUUUAAGAUUUCUUCCCUUUAUGCAUAAAAUUAAUAAUUUCUUCUGUGCUAGUGUCUGCCUAUAGCAUUACCAAACAAAUGGAAAGCAGGAUCCCAAUUUGCCAACCACCAACCUUACAUUAAUGUCUCUUCUUUGAAAUCAAUUAUGUGACACCACUGUAAAAUCACGAUCAGCUUAAUAACUAAUAUUUUAAUUCUUUCUAUUUUAGUAGUAUUUCUGUUUUCAAUAGCUGAAAAGUGUUACAGAACAGUUUACUCAGUUUAAACUCACUGGUAAUAUAGUCUGAGGAAAUUAAAAGAUGUGGAUAUAAAUAAAAUAAAGACUUCCUUCUGGAGCGAUUUUUUU